rnacentral:misc_RNA from 1 species
GAUGAAGAACGUAGCGAAAUGCGAUAAGUAGUGUGAAUUGCAGAAUUCAGUGAAUCAUCGAAUCUUUGAACGCACAUUGCGCCCCUUGGUAUUCCAUGGGGCAUGCCUGUUCGAGCGUCAUCUACACCCUCAAGCUCUGCUUGGUGUUGGGCGUCUGUCCCGCCCCCGCGCGUGGACUCGCCCCAAAUCCAUUGGCAGCGUUCCUUGCCCCCUCUCGCGCAGCACAUUGCGGUUCUCGAGGGCGGCUCCGGGACGCGAUCCAGCAAGAUGACCACCGUCUUUGACCUCGGAUCAGGUAGGGAUACCCGCUGAACUUAAGCAUAUCAAUAAGCGGAGGA